rnacentral:rRNA from 1 species
AGCGUAGACGGAGCAGCAAGUCUGAUGUGAAAGGCAGGGGCUCAACCCCUGGACUGCAUUGGAAACUGUUGAUCUUGAGUACCGGAGAGGUAAGCGGAAUUCCUAGUGUAGCGGUGAAAUGCGUAGAUAUUAGGAGGAACACCAGUGGCGAAGGCGGCUUACUGGACGGUAACUGACGUUGAGGCUCGAAAGCGUGGGGAGCAAACA